rfam:Oryza rufipogon genomic scaffold, chr06
AAAGACUCAAUUUCUAGGUUUCCGUGUCCAACGUUUGACUGUCCGUCUUAUUUAAAAAAAUUAUAAAAAAAUUUAAAAGUAUAAGUCACACAUAAAGUAUUAAUCAUGUUUUAUCAUCUAACAAUAAUAAAAAUACUAAUCAUAAAAAAAUUUCAUAUGAGACGGACAGUCAAACGUUGUACACAAAAACCCAGGAAUUGAGUCUUU